UUUGGGAGAAAAUUAGGCAAUCUUAGUCUGCCUGUCCGUAACACAGUGUUGUGCUGCCAUGGACGGCAGCACAAGUCUUAAUGUGCCCGGAUGGCACAUUUAAGACACACACGUCACUCUGCCACAAUCUGAACCAGGCAGCCUUAGAUUGUCUUAUUUUCGGACAAC
rfam:Roseburia intestinalis XB6B4 draft genome.